rnacentral:rRNA from 1 species
AUGGCCAUGGUCGCCUCCACCUCCAUCGCCUACCACAAGCCGCGUUUGUCGGUGGUGUGCAGGAAGAAGGACCGGGAUAGGGAGCUGGAGCGGGAGAAGGAGCACAAGUACCCCUUCAAGGUCGUCGAGAUCACGCCGCCGCCGCGAUGCCUCGGCGUCCGCUGCUUCCCCAUGAACAUCCACUGCGGGGAGAGCGUGACGAUCGAAGGGCAGGCGUACACGGUGUCGGCGGUGACGCACCGGUACCAGCUGCGCAAGGGGCGGUACGAGCCGAGCGAGAAGCGCCUCGACGUCCUCUCCACCGGCAGAUACAUCCUCAACCUCUAUCUCGACAGCCUCCUCGACAAGUCCUAG